GAAAUGGUUUUCUGUCUAUAUAAGAAAAACAAACCCUCCAACAACCAAAUUAUUUUUCCAUAUCUUCUCUUACUUUCUUUUUCUUUCUUCUUUCACUAAGAAAACCAAGCCAAGAUGAAGAAGACAUCGAAACUACUGAUCAUGAUCCUCCUUUUCGUCCUCUCUUUCGUCUUUUCCUCUUUAGCUGUUCCUACAUCAAGAAGCCUAAAGUCAGGUGCAGAUUAUAAUAUCCAUCCAUCAUUCCAGGAGUUCAUGCCUCAACUGACCCAAAAGGAUGGAUUUGGGGAAAGAAGAAAGAUGAUAGAGUUAACAGAUUACCCAGGAACAGGAGCCAACAAUCAGCACAAUCCAAAACCUCCGGGAACUGUUUGAUUGUUAAUUAAUACCAUUCAUAAUAAAUAUAUUUAUACUUGUGUUACAUCUGUUUAAUUUGUGCAUCAAUGAAUGCCAGUAUUCAAGUAGUUAUUUGUCAAAUAAUAAACCAGUCAUUUGUAACAAGGGACUAUUCCUCAAUGAAAAGUCAUUGAAAAAUAUUUAUAAAAUGCUUAA